GACGAACGCUGGCGGCGUGCUUAACACAUGCAAGUCGAACGAAGAGCGAUGGAAGCUUGCUUCUAUCAAUCUUAGUGGCGAACGGGUGAGUAACGCGUAAUCAACCUGCCCUUCAGAGGGGGACAACAGUUGGAAACGACUGCUAAUACCGCAUACGAUCUAAUCUCGGCAUCGAGGAUAGAUGAAAGGUGGCCUCUACAUGUAAGCUAUCACUGAAGGAGGGGAUUGCGUCUGAUUAGCUAGUUGGAGGGGUAACGGCCCACCAAGGCGAUGAUCAGUAGCCGGUCUGAGAGGAUGAACGGCCACAGUGGGACUGAGACACGGCCCAGACUCCUACGUGAGGCAGCAGUGGGGAAUCUUCCGCAAUGGACGAAAGUCUGACGGAGCAACGCCGCGUGAGUGAUGACGGCCUUCGGGUUGUAAAGCUCUGUUAAUCGGGACGAAAGGCCUUCUUGCGAAUAGUGAGAAGGAUUGACGGUACCGGAAUAGAAAGCCACGGCUAACUACGUG
rnacentral:rRNA from 1 species